UACGUAGGGCGCAAGCGUUAUCCGGAAUUAUUGGGCGUAAAGGGUGCGUAGGCGGCGCGGUAAGUCGGGUGUGAAAUCUCGGGGCUUAACUCCGAAACUGCAUUCGAUACUGCCGUGCUUGAGGACUGGAGAGGAGACUGGAAUUUACGGUGUAGCGGUGAAAUGCGUAGAUAUCGUAAGGAAGACCAGUGGCGAAGGCGGGUCUCUGGACAGUUCCUGACGCUGAGGCACGAAGGCCAGGGGAGCAAACGGG
rnacentral:rRNA from 1 species